rnacentral:tRNA from 1 species
GCCUGGGUGGCUCAGUGGUGGAGCAUCUGCCUUUGGCUCAGGUCGUGAUUCCGGGGUCCUGGGAUUGAGUCCCACAUCAGGCU